CCUACGGGUGGCAGCAGUCGAGAAUAUUUCACAAUGGAGGAAACUCUGAUGGAGCGACGCCGCGUGGAGGAAUGAAGGUCUUCGGAUUGUAAACCUCUGUGAUGUGGGAGUAAAUUAAAAAGAUAGUACCACAAGAGGUCGAGAAGGCUAACUCUGGGCGAGUAGCUGCGGUAAUACAGAGGUCUCAAGAGUUGUUCGGAAUUACUGGGCGUAAGGGGUGCGUAGGCUGUUUCGUAAGUCAGUUGUGAAAGGCUCGGGCUCAACCCGCGAACGUCAAAUGAUACUGCGUGACUUGAGUGAAGGAGAGGUAACCGGAAUUCGUGGUGUAGCGGUGAAAUGCUUAGAUAUCGCGAGGAACUCUCGUGGCGAAGGCGGCUUCCUGGACUGUAACUGACGCUGAGGCACGAAAGCCAGGGGAUCAAACAGGAUUAGAUACCCUUGUAGUC
rnacentral:rRNA from 1 species